rnacentral:rRNA from 2 species
AUCGCUGGCCCUUAAGGGGGGGAUAACAUUUGGAAACAGAUGCUAAUACCGCAUAGAUCCAAGAACCGCAUGGUUCUUGGCUGAAAGAUGGCGUAAGCUAUCGCUUUUGGAUGGACCCGCGGCGUAUUAGCUAGUUGGUGAGGUAACGGCUCACCAAGGCGAUGAUACGUAGCCGAACUGAGAGGUUGAUCGGCCACAUUGGGACUGAGACACGGCCCAAACUCCUACGGGAGGCAGCAGUAGGGAAUCUUCCACAAUGGACGCAAGUCUGAUGGAGCAACGCCGCGUGAGUGAAGAAGGCUUUCGGGUCGUAAAACUCUGUUGUUGGAGAAGAAUGGUCGGCAGAGUAACUGUUGUCGGCGUGACGGUAUCCAACCAGAAAGCCACGGCUAACUACGUGCCAGCAGCCGCGGUAAUACGUAGGUGGCAAGCGUUAUCCGGAUUUAUUGGGCGUAAAGCGAGCGCAGGCGGUUUUUUAAGUCUGAUGUGAAAGCCCUCGGCUUAACCGAGGAAGCGCAUCGGAAACUGGGAAACUUGAGUGCAGAAGAGGACAGUGGAACUCCAUGUGUAGCGGUGAAAUGCGUAGAUAUAUGGAAGAACACCAGUGGCGAAGGCGGCUGUCUGGUCUGUAACUGACGCUGAGGCUCGAAAGCAUGGGUAGCGAACAGGAUUAGAUACCCUGGUAGUCCAUGCCGUAAACGAUGAAUGCUAGGUGUUGGAGGGUUUCCGCCCUUCAGUGCCGCAGCUAACGCAUUAAGCAUUCCGCCUGGGGAGUACGACCGCAAGGUUGAAACUCAAAGGAAUUGACGGGGGCCCGCACAAGCGGUGGAGCAUGUGGUUUAAUUCGAAGCAACGCGAAGAACCUUACCAGGUCUUGACAUCUUUUGAUCACCUGAGAGAUCAGUUUCCCCUUCGGGGGCAAAUGACAGUGUGCAUGGUUGUCGUCAGCUCGUGUCGUGAGAUGUGGUAAGUCCGCACGAGCGCACCCUAUGACUAGUGC